rnacentral:rRNA from 1 species
AGAUUUUAAUGAUCGAACAGAUCAAAAUUUUAAACUUUUGCAUUUAAAUUUUAUCUUAAUCCAACAUCGAGGUCGCAAACUUUUUUUUUUAUUUGAGCUAAAAAAAAAUAUUACGCUGUUAUCCCUAAGGUAAUUUUUUCUUAUAAUCAUUAUUAAUGGAUCAUUUAAUCAUUUAUUUAUGUUUAAUUUUUAAAAAAAGUUAAUUUAAUUUUUCUAUCACCCCAAUAUAAUAAUUAAUUUUAUUUCAAUAAAAAUUUUUAUAUAAUUUUAAAAUAAAAAUAAAUAUAAAACUCUAUAGGGUCUUCUCGUCUUUUAAAAUUAAUUUAGCUUUUUAACUAAAAAAUAAACUUCUAAAAAUAAAUAAGAGACAGUUUAUAUUUCAUCAAAUCUUUCAUACAAGUUUUCAAUUAAAAAACUAGUGAUUAUGCUACCUUUGUACAGUCAUUAUACUGCAGCCCUUUAAUUAUUAUCAGUGGGCAGAUUAGACCUUAAAUUAUAUUCAA